rnacentral:piRNA from 1 species
UCACAGCACACCUUCCAGGCUGAGCGUUUC